AGAAGAGCCUGCAUCUAGAUGGGCCUCGAAGAUGACACGUGUGACAGCAAACUCUUUGCUUCUAGUUCAGCUCACAUCUCCUCCUGGCUCCAUUUGAGGCUUCAUUUCAGACUCUUAACAGGUUUCCUUCUCAAGUGUGUCAACACAAAGUAGACAAAAAGGAUCUCUUCCUCCAGCUCGUUAUCUUUCCCCUCUUGAAGUGAAACUACCUAUGUCAUGUUUGUGUUCUUUCGUCUGUGGCUCAUCUCUAUAAAAUUACA
rnacentral:lncRNA from 1 species